GACUCCUACGGGAGGCAGCAGUGGGGAAUUUUGGACAAUGGGCGAAAGCCUGAUCCAGCAAUGCCGCGUGCAGGAUGAAGGCCUUAGGGUUGUAAACUGCUUUUGUACGGAACGAAACGGCUCCUUCUAAUACAAGGGGCUAAUGACGGUACCGUAAGAAUAAGCACCGGCUAACUACGUG
rnacentral:rRNA from 1 species